UUUGAUGGCGACCGGCGCACGGGUGAGUAACACGUAUCCAACCUGCCGAUGACUCGGGGAUAGCCUCUCGAAAGAAAGAUUAAUACCCGAUGGCAUAGUUCUUCCGCAUGGUAGAACUAUUAAAGGAUUUCGGUCAUCGAUGGGGAUGCGUUCCAUUAGGUUGUUGGCGGGGUAACGGCCCACCAAGCCUUCGAUGGAUAGGGGUUCUGAGAGGAAGGUCCCCCACAUUGGAACUGAGACGCGGUCCAAACUCCUACGGGAGGCAGCAUG
rnacentral:rRNA from 1 species